GCUGGGUGUGGUGGUGCGCACCUGUAAUUCCAGCUACUCAGGAGGCUGAGGUGGGAGGAUCACUUGAGCCCAGGAGUUUGAAGCUGCAGUGAGUCGUGUUCACACCACUGCACUCCAGCCUGGGCAACAGAGUGAGACCCUAUCUCAA
ensembl:misc_RNA Metazoa_SRP Metazoan signal recognition particle RNA